rnacentral:rRNA from 1 species
ACGGGAGGCAGCAGUGAGGAAUAUUGGUCAAUGGAGGCAACUCUGAACCAGCCAAGUCGCGUGAAGGAAGAAGGCCCUACGGGUCGUAAACUUCUUUUGCAGGGGGAUAAAGUCGGCCACGCGUGGCCGUUUGCAGGUACCCUGUGAAUAAGCAUCGGCUAACUCCGUGCCAGCAGCCGCGGUAAUACGGAGGAUGCGAGCGUUAUCCGGAUUUAUUAGGUUUAAAGGGUGCGCAGGCGGGACAUUAAGUCGGUGGUGAAAUACCGUGGCCCAACCACGGGGCUGCCAUCGAUACUGAUGACCUUGAGUGCGUGUGACGUAGGCGGAAUGUGGAGUGUAGCGGUGAAAUGCUUAGAUAUUCCACAGAACACCGAUUGCGAAGGCAGCCUACGAAUGCGUAACUGACGCUCAUGCACGAAAGCGCGGGUAGCGAACAGGAUUAGAUACCCUGGUA